AGCAAAUAGAUACCCGGUAGUCCACGCCCUAAACGAUGCCUACUAGUUGUUGGUGGAGUAAAAUCCAUGAGUAAACGCAGCUAAACGCGUGAAGUAGACCGCCUGGGGAGUACGGUCGCAAGAUUAAAAACUCAAAGGAAUUGACGGGGGCCCGCACAAGCGGUGGAUUAUGUGGAUUAAAUUCGAUGCAACGCGAAAAACCUUACCUGGCCUUGACAUGCCACUAACGAAGCAGAGAUGCAUUAGGUGCCCGUAAGGGAAAGUGGACACAGGUGCUGCAUGGCUGUCGUCAGCUCGUGUCGUGAGAUGUUGGGUUAAGUCCCGCAACGAGCGCAACCCUUGCCAUUAAUUGCCAUCAUUUAGUUGGGCACUUUAAUGGGACUGCCGGUGACAAACCGGAGGAAGGUGGGGAUGACGUCAAGUCCUCAUGGCCCUUAUGGCCAGGGCUUCACACGUAAUACAAUGGUCGGUACAGAGAGUUGCCAACCCGCGAGGGGAGCUAAUCUCAGAAAGCCGAUCGUAGUCCGGAUUGUUCU
rnacentral:rRNA from 1 species